rnacentral:lncRNA from 1 species
AAACCCCACCUCCUUCCCGCCCCCCUUGCCCCGUUGGCUAAGCCCCAGCCCACCUCUCAAGAGUUCAAGCUGCGUCUGCGCGCCACAGGCCCCGCCCCCUUCCGUCGCAGCGACGCUACUCAGUGGAUGUGCACCUGGGUGGGAGAGACUUGCAGCGCGGGUGGAAUCAAACCACAGAUUAGGGAGUUUGAAGGCUUUAUUGGUGCGGAAUCUGAGGGCACAGCCAAGCCCCCGCCAACUUUGAUCCCGGAUCCCAGCGUCACUCAGCUCUGGACGGUUCUUCCCCCAUUGCUUCUGUCGGCUGCAUAGACGUGAGGGGCAGAUAGGUGCUCUCCUCCCUAACAUGGUAACUGCCGCUCCGUUGGUGCUCCCUGAAGACGUACAUUAAGGCCAGUACGAUAGUCACCACGCCCAGGGUCAGUAACACCGCCACGAAGACGGGGACAAAGUGGGAGCUCCCAGCUGUGCAGAGAAAGCGCUAAGUCAAUAUGCGUCCCUUCUGUCUCCAACCCCCCCGCCCCCCGGCUUACCGGUCCAGACCCGCAGCCCCGUGUUAGCUCACCCUCAAUGUCCAUCACCACGACCAGGGUGUAUUUGCCUCGUGAGCUGGACGCUUGGCACUGAUAAGUACCAUUAUGUGUUACGUUGACGAAGAACGGGAUCCCCACCGGCACCUCCCGGCUGGAGCCUUCCUUCAAACACCGCAGCUCGGGGUACGGGUUGCCCCUGGCUUGGCACUGCAGGACGUGUCUCGUUUUAUCUUUCCAUUUCAAGUGCUGGGGGCAUGUGGCUCGGUCAAUUUUGGGACCAUCUGUGGAACCACCAUGUGUGAUCAGACACCCAACACACCCGAGGCACAGUGGUGCAGAGGAGCGUCUAAUCUUUCCAGGGCAGGGGUGGAGGGAUUAAAGGUCAGGGUGACCGACUCACACAGGACUCGCAGCUGGACGCUACUGUUCCUGUGCAAGAACUCGCCGUCCACCUCGAGAGUGGCACUGCAGAAGAAGCUGCGUCCGUCGUCACUCUCGGUAGCAUUUAGCUGAAGUUGAGCUGGCUGCCCCGGGGCCGCGGCCGGAACUCCGUCCAGCGUGACCUGGACUCGAGCCCCAGCCAUGCAACUCACGGUCACUGUGGACCCCUCAUGGGCGGUGGGCUCGCUGAGGUUCACAAUGGGUCCUAGGAAGCCUAAAGGCGGGGCAUUGCCCAGGAGCUUAAUGAACAGGACCUUCCUGUGGGUCAAGCCGCUCCCUCCGCCCUCCCCUUUCCUCUCGGGAUAUCCGGGCCACGCUUUCGGCCGUUCAAGCCUCGCCCUCUUUCCGCGCUGUGUCCAGCUUCGGGCACUCAGGCCCAACCCACGUUGCAACUGCUAUUGGGGCAAGCCAGGCCCCACCUUUUCGGCUAGUCUCCGCCCCCUCUGCCACGCCCCCAGACUGCUGAGGCCGCGCCCCCUUCCCACGCCUCCUCUUACUAAAGACCGUCAAGUUCUCCCGGGCCUCCCGUCUCUCGCCCCCUAGGGUCACGUUGCAGACGAUCUCCCGGGCACCCUCCUGAUCCGCGCGCGCCGUGGCUGUGGCUGUGGCCGUUAGCGUGUCCCCGUGGUUCAUGACUGUCGCAUUCAGCAUCUGGUCCCCCAGCGCCAGGUAGACCUGGGCCUCUGAGGCUGGAAAAAGCCCGUCUAGGGUGCAGUCCACCGGCCACGACGUUUCCACCUCCAAGAACCGGGGGGCCACGAGGCGCGGGGGGGUCACGGGCAGGACUGGGGAGAAAGGACACACACACAGGGCCAUGAAAACGGCCUUCUUCAAAGAUCCCACGGCUCGGGCCUCCCUUCCGGGGCCACCUUGCCCAGUGGCCGGGGGCUUUCCUUCCCAGAAGCCUGUGAGGUCCGGGGUACCCCACUCUCAGGAACCCCAAGGUCAGGGCACCGUCUACCCUGGCUCAGCUCGUCACCCACCGUCUGAAGCCCCUUCUCUCACCAAAGGAGGGUUCCUGCCUUCAUGGUCCAGUGGGAAAGGUAGAAUCCAUCAGAGACCGGGGAGAACUCAGAAGGAGGCCAGAAGAGGCUCUGAUCCAGCAUAGGAGGAGGUGAGUCAGGGAAGGCUUCCUGGAAGCG